rnacentral:rRNA from 1 species
CAGCGGCAGACGGGUGAGUAACACGUAGGUGAUCUACCCCAGAGACGGGGAUAACGGGCGGAAACGCUCGCUAAUACCGGAUGACCUUACCGAGUCAAAUUGGUAAGGAAAGGCUCCGGCGCUCUGGGAGGAGCCUGCGGCCCAUCAGCUAGUUGGCGGGAUAAAGGCCCACCAAGGCGAAGACGGGUAGGGGGUGUGAGAGCAUGGCCCCCCACAAUGGGACUGAAACACGGCCCAUACUCCUACGGGAGGCAGCAGCAGGGAAUAUUGCACAAUGGACGGAAGUCUGAUGCAGCGACGCCGCGUGGAUGAUGAAGGCCCUCGGGUUGUAAAAUCCUUUACAAGGGGACGAGGAAGGACGGUACCCUUGGAACAAGUGUCGGCUAACUACGUGCCAGCAGCCGCGGUAAGACGUAGGACACAAGCGUUAUCCGGAUUUACUGGGCGUAAAGCGUCUGCAGGCGGACAGGUAAGUUGGGCGUGAAAGCUCCGGGCUCAACCCGGAGAGGUCGUUCAAUACUGCGUGUCUAGAGGGUGUCAGAGGGGAGUGGAAUUUCCGGAGUAGCGGUAAAAUGCGCAGAUAUCGGAAAGAACACCAAUGGCGAAGGCAGCUCCCUGGGGCAUACCUGACGCUAAGAGACGAAAGCUAGGGGAGCGAACAGGAUUAGAGACCCUGGUAGUCCUAGCCCUAAACGAUGGAUGCUGGAUGUGGGGCCAUAGCGCUCCGUGUCGAAGCGAACGCGUUAAGCAUCCCGCCUGGGGACUACGGCCGCAAGGUUAAAACUCAAACGAAUUGACGGGACCCCGCACAAGCAGCGGAGUGUGUGGUUAAAUUCGAUGACUACACGAAGCACAUCACCGGGGUUAGACAUCUAGGUGGUAGACGACGUGAAAGGCGGAACGCACCCGUCGGGGAGCAUACACAGCUGCUGCAUGGUCGUCGUCAGCUCCCGCCAUGAGUCGUCGGAAUUAGCUCCCGUGACGAGCACGACCCCCGCCCUCCGUUAUACGUGAUCAGAGGGCUCUCCCGGCGAUACACCCGGAGGAAGGUGGGGAACACCUCAAGUCCGCAGCGCCUUUAUAUCACAGGCAUACACACACGCACACAAUGGCCAGUACAAAGGCUAGCGAAGCCGCGAGGUGGAGCGAAUCCCAACAAAGCUGGUCGU